CUGGUACCUGGAGGCCCCCUGGCUGCAGACACAGCAAGAUGGUUUCGAGCAGGGUGUGAAACGUUUGCUGCCAGUGAGGGAGAAAGGUUUGCCUUGGCUAGGAGUAGCAGGAUUUCAGGCUCCACAUCUGGGUCUUCCGUCUACGUCACCACCACCAUCCUCAUAUAGUAAAUAGAUACAUUUCAUUAGUUGCUGAGGGCUGUAGGAGCACAGUUGUCCCAAGUAAUUUAAUCAACUGAGGAUGACAUUAAAAAAAAAUUUUUAACUUGUUUCAACAGUUGUUUUCCGCAUUUCCACAGUAAUUACCAUGCUUACCAGUAAGAUACAAUUCAUCUCUGGAUCAUAUUUUAUGUGUUUUAGGCAAUGAGUUUAUUUGAGGUUGUCCUCUAAAGCAAAAGCAUACUAAGCAUUAGUUAUGUCAACCUAAAAUUCCUUUGGUUAAAUCUUCAGUUUAAUUAGUGUAUGAAUUCCUUUUCAAAGAGCUGCUUGUCCACAAGUUUGAGAAACGGGUGGAAAAUAUGGGGAGUUUAUAGUUGGGAUACGUUUCAAAUAUGGCUGACAAGGAUCUGCCUAGGAACAUGGGACUCAUAGAAUAUCCUCAGGAGGCAGUGGGGAACGGGACACUGAGAUGGUCCAUGGAAGAGAAACAACAGUUGUUCUUCAAAUUCCUGCCAUUUGAUCUAAGAUCUGAUUUUUUUUGUUGUAGGAUUGAAGAGAUGAAAGUUCCCAUGGUCCCCCAAAAUUUUGUUUAUAGUACAUACAAAUGCUCCCUGAGAUACCCAGCUGUAUGAGGAAUAAAUAAGGAAAGAGAACAAU
rnacentral:lncRNA from 1 species